UACGUAGGGUCCGAGCGUUGUCCGGAAUUACUGGGCGUAAAGAGCUCGUAGGUGGUUUGUCGCGUUGUUCGUGAAAACUCACAGCUCAACUGUGGGCGUGCGGGCGAUACGGGCAGACUGGAGUACUGCAGGGGGAGACUGGAAUUCCUGGUGUAGCGGUGGAAUGCGCAGAUAUCAGGAGGAACACCGGUGGCGAAGGCGGGUCUCUGGGCAGUAACUGACGCUGAGAAGCGAAAGCAUGGGGAGCGAACAGG
rnacentral:rRNA from 1 species